CCUGUCUGAACAUGGGGGGACCACCCUCCAAGCCUAAAUACUCGCACAUGACCGAUAGCGAACACAGUACCGUGAGGGAAAGGUGAAAAGCACCCCGAUUAGGGGAGUGAAACAGUACCUGAAACCGGAUGCUUACAAGCAGUUGGAGCCCCAUAGGGGGUGACAGCGUACCUCUUGCAUAAUGGGUCAGUGACUUAAUUUAUCGAGCAAGCUUAAGCCGUUAGGUGUAGGCGUAGCGAAAGCGAGUCUGAAUAGGGCGACUGAGUUCGAUGAAUUAGACCCGAACCCCGGCGAUCUAGGCAUGGCCAGGUUGAAGGUGCGGUAACACGCACUGGAGGACCGAACCGGUGAAUGUUGAAAAAUUCUCGGAUGAGCUGUGUUUAGGGGUGAAAGGCCAAUCAAGCCGGGAAAUAGCUGGUUCUCCGCGAAAUCUAUUGAGGUAGAGCGUCGGAUGUAUGCCGAUGGGGGUAGAGCACUGGAUGGGCUAGGGCUGCGCGAGCGGUACCAAACCUAACCAAACUCCGAAUACCAUCGAGUCUUAUCCGGCAGACAGACGGCGGGUGCUAAGGUCCGUCGUCAAAAGGGAAACAGCCCUAACCUACAGCUAAGGUCCCCAAGUCAUAUCUAAGUGGGAAAGCAUGUGGGAAUCCCAAAACAACCAGGAGGUUGGCUUAGAAGCAGCCAUCCUUUAAAGAAAGCGUAACAGCUCACUGGUCUAAAUAAGGGUUCCUGCGGCGAAGAUGUAACGGGGCUAAAGAUAUGCACCGAAGCUUAGGGUUCAGAAUUUAUUCUGAGCGGUAGCGGAGCGUUCCGUAAGCGAGCGAAGGAGAAGGGUAACCGACUCUGGACGUAUCGGAAGUGCGAAUGCUGACAUGAGUAGCGACAAAGAGGGUGAGAUGCCCUCUCGCCGAAAGACCAAGGGUUCCUGCGCAACGCUAAUCGGCGCAGGGUUAGCCGGCCCCUAAGACGAGCCCGAAGGGGGUAGUCGAUGGGAACCACGUAAAUAUUCGUGGGCCUGAAGAUGUGUGACGGAUCGUGGAAGUUGUUUUCUCUUAUUGGAUUGAGAGGGCAGCCAAGCGGUUCCAGGAAAUAGCCUCUUCAUAUAGACCGUACCCGAAACCGACACAGGUGGUCAGGUAGAGUAUACCAAGGCGCUUGAGAGAAGUAUCCUGAAGGAACUCGGCAAAUUGCCUCCGUACCUUCGGAAGAAGGAGGCCCCAUAUCGACGCAAGUCUUUGUGGGGGGCACAGGCCAGGGGGUAGCGACUGUUUAGCAAAAACACAGCACUCUGCUAAGUCGGCUUCAAGACGACGUAUAGGGUGUGACGCCUGCCCGGUGCUCGAAGGUUAAGAGGAGGAGUGCAAGCUCCGAAUUGAAGCCCGAGUAAACGGCGGCCGUAACUAUAACGGUCCUAAGGUAGCGAAAUUCCUUGUCGGGUAAGUUCCGACCUGCACGAAUGGCGUAACGACUUCCCCACUGUCUCCAGGAUAUGCUCAGCGAAAUUGAAUUCUCCGUGAAGAUGCGGAGUACCCGCGGUUAGACGGAAAGACCCCGUGCACCUUUACUGCAGCUUCAGAGUGGCAUUAGGAAAUUACUGUGUAGCAUAGGUGGGAGGCUUUGAAGCGACGGCGCCAGCUGUCGUGGAGCCAUAGGUGAAAUACCACCCUGUGAUUUUCUGAUGUCUAACCUCGCACCGUUAGCCGGUGUAGGGACCCUCUGUGGCGGGUAGUUUGACUGGGGCGGUCGCCUCCUAAAGAGUAACGGAGGCGCGCGAUGGUAUGCUCAGGACGGUUGGAAACCGUCUGCAAGAGUGCAAUGGCAUAAGCAUGCCUGACUGCGAGACCGACAGGUCGAGCAGAGACGAAAGUCGGUCAUAGUGAUCCGGUGGUCCCUCGUGGAAGGGCCAUCGCUCAACGGAUAAAAGGUACGCCGGGGAUAACAGGCUGAU
rnacentral:rRNA from 2 species